rnacentral:misc_RNA from 1 species
AACUUUUAGCAACGGAUCACUUGGCUCUCGCAUCGAUGAAGAACGCAGCGAAAUGCGAUAAGUAAUGGGAAUUGCAGAAUUCAGUGAAUCAUCGAAUCUUUGAACGCACCUUGCGCUCCUUGGUAUUACGAGGAGCAUGCCUGUUUGAGUGUCAUUAAUAUAUCAACCUCUUCAGCUUAUGCUUGUUGAGUGUUGGAUGGUGGGGGUUUGCUGGUGUCUUAUGAAGUCAGCUCCCCUGAAAUGCAUUAGCGGAACAAUUUGUUGACCGUUCAUUGGUGUGAUAAAACAUCUACGCUAUUAACGUAAGUCAGUUCAGCUUCUAACAGUCCAUUGACUUGGACAAAUUUUUCAUUAAUGUGACCUCAAAUCAGGUAGGACUACCCGCUGAACUUAAGCAUAUCAGCGGAGGCU